rnacentral:pre_miRNA from 1 species
ACUGCCUCAGAGGAUCCAAGUCCAAGGUCAACUUUACCCACUCCUCUGAAAGUUGAGCUUGGCCUUUGAUCCUCUGAGGCUGU